rnacentral:rRNA from 1 species
AACGAACGCUGGCGGCAGGCCUAACACCUGCAAGUCGAACGGGACCUUCGUGUCUAGUGACGGACGGGUGAGUAACGCGUGGGAACGUGGCCUGUGGUCCGGAAUAGCCUCGGGAAACUGGGAGUAAUACCGGAAAAGCCCUACGGGGGAAAGAUUUAUCGCCAAAGGAGCGGCCCGGGGUGGAUGAGGUAGGUGGUGGGGUAAUGGCCGACCAAGUCGACGAUCCAUAGCUGGCUUGAGAGGAUGAUCAGCCACACUGGGACUGAGACACGGGCCAGACUGCUACGGUAGGCAACAGUGGGGAAUUUUAAACAAUGGGGGAAACCCUAAUCUGGCCAUGCCGCGUGAUCGAUGAAGGCCUUAGGGUUGUAAAGAUCUUUCAGUGGGGAAGAUAAUGACUGCACCCACAGAAGAAGCCCCGGCUAACUCCGUGCCAGCCGCCGCCGUAA